CAGGCCUAACACAUGCAAGUCGAACGAUGCUUUCGGGCAUAGUGGCGCACGGGUGCGUAACGCGUGGGAAUCUGCCCUUCGGUUGGGAAUAACUGAGAGAAAUUUCAGCUAAUACCUUAUAAUGUCUUCGGACCAAAGAUUUAUCGCCGAGGGAUGAGCCCGCGUAGGAUUAGCUAGUUGGUGGGGUAAUGGCCUACCAAGGCGACGAUCCUUAGCUGGUCUGAGAGGAUGAUCAGCCACACUGGGACUGAGACACGGCCCAGACUCCUACGGGAGGCAGCAGUGGGGAAUAUUGGACAAUGGGCGAAAGCCUGAUCCAGCAAUGCCGCGUGAGUGAUGAAGGCCUUAGGGUUGUAAAGCUCUUUUACCAGGGAUGAUAAUGACAGUACCUGGAGAAUAAGCUCCGGCUAACUCCGUGCCAGCAGCCGCGGUAAU
rnacentral:rRNA from 1 species